GGGUCCUUCCCCAGGAGCCGGGGGCUCUCCUCGUCCUCUGUGGGGAGCUGGAGAGGGUUGGGGAGGGUUGUGCUUGAUCCUAUCCAUGGCAUCCCAGGUGGGCAUUGUUAUCCUACAUUUUGGGGUCCAAGGUGGGCAUCGUCACCCAUCAGCAGCACCCCAGGUGGGCCCCGUUACCCCAGCAUGGGUUAUAUGGCCGGGGGAGCUGCCCCAUCCCAGCUCUGCUCCUGGAUGCUGAGGGUCUCGCUGGUAACGUGUGCUUCAUCGUGCAUCCUCUGGCACCGUGGGCACGGCUUCAGACAGCUCGCAGGCACUGCUGAGCCUUUUUCCUGCUUUUUAAGCUCGAGCUGAGGCUCCAGCCUUUGAAACGGCAGCGCCGUCCCUGAGCUGGGACCGCAGGUAAAAAUAACGCCGGGGAGAGGAAAGGGGACUUUCCAUUUUUAGUUCAGCUUCUGAAAGUUCUGCUUUUUGCUGCGUCCUCAGAGCCUUGCAGGGGAGGCUGGUUCCCGUUGUCCCCCCUUUCCCUGGGCCGCUGGUUGGAGGCAGCGGGGAGCAGCGCGCGGCUCGCUGCCCGAGCGCAAGGGAGCGACCUUGCCAGAUGGGCAGCGUGUCGUUUUGCAGCCCGCGGUAAAUAAUUUCUGCCCCGUAAUCUGUUAACAAACGAGAGCUCCGCGCCGGCUGUAACGUGA